GAUGAACGCUGGCGGCGUGCCUAAUACAUGCAAGUCGAGCGAAUGGAUUGAGAGCUUGCUCUUAUGAAGUUAGCGGCGGACGGGUGAGUAACACGUGGGUAACCUGCCCAUAAGACUGGGAUAACUCCGGGAAACCGGGGCUAAUACCGGAUAACAUUUUGAACCGCAUGGUUCGAAAUUGAAAGGCGGCUUCGGCUGUCGCUUAUGGAUGGACCCGCGUCGCAUUAGCUAGUUGGUGAGGUAACGGCUCACCAAGGCAACGAUGCGUAGCCGACCUGAGAGGGUGAUCUGCCACACUGGGACUGCGACACGGCCCAGACUCCUACGGGAGGCAGCAGUAGGGAAUCUUCCGCAAUGGACGAAAGUCUGACGGAGCAACGCCGCGUGAGUGAUGAAGGCUUUCGGGUCGUAAAACUCUGUUGUUAGGGAAGAACAAGUGCUAGUUGAAUAAGCUGGCACCUUGACGGUACCUAACCAGAAAGCCACGGCUAACUACGUGCCAGCCGCCGCAGUAA
rnacentral:rRNA from 1 species